GAUGAACGCUGGCGGCGUGCCUAAUACAUGCAAGUCGAGCGAACGGACGAGAAGCUUGCUUCUCUGAUGUUAGCGGCGGACGGGCGAGUAACACGUGGAUAACCUACCUAUAAGUCUGGGAUAACUUCGGGAAACAGGAGAUACUACUGGAUGAUAUUUUGAACCGCAUGGUUCAAAAGUGCUAGACGGUCUUGCUGUCACUUAUAGCUGGAUCCGCGCUGCAUUAGCUAGUUGGUAAGGUAACGGCUUACCAAGGCAACGAUGCAUAGCCGACCUGAGAGGGUGAUCGGCCACACUGGAACUGAGACACGGUCCAGACUCCUACGGGAGGCAGCAGUAAGGAAUCUUCCGCAAUGGGCGAAAGCCUGACGGAGCAACGCCGCGUGAGUGAUGAAGGUCUUCGGAUCGUAAAACUCUGUUAUUAGGGAAGAACAUAUGUGUAAGUAACUGUGCACAUCUUGACGGUACCUAAUCAGAAAGCCACGGCUAACUACGUG
rnacentral:rRNA from 1 species